rnacentral:lncRNA from 1 species
UUGUAGUGAGGUUGAGGGAAAAAACAAUGAGGUCUCUAAUGGCCUCCGCAACAGUCACUCUUGUGUUAGCAAUACUGUCUCUAAGCUUGCCAUCUCAAAUCUCAGCUGAUACCUACUUGUACUCAUCACCUCCUCCUCCCAAGAAGCCCUAUUAUUAUCACUCUCCUCCACCACCUUCACCUCCUCCACCUAAGCCAUACUACUAUCAUUCACCACCACCACCUUCACCUCCUCCACCCAAGCCAUACUACUAUCACUCACCACCACCACCUUCACCUCCUCCACCUAAACCAUACUACUAUCACUCACCACCACCACCUUCACCUCCUCCACCUAAACCAUACUACUAUCACUCACCACCACCACCUUCACCUCCUCCACCUAAACCAUACUACUAUCACUCACCACCACCACCUUCACCUCCUCCACCUAAGUCAUAUUACUAUCACUCACCACCACCACCACCCAAAAAGAAGCCAUACUACUACCAUUCUCCCCCACCACCUUCACCACCUCCUCCUAAGCCAUACUACUAUCACUCUCCCCCACCGCCUUCACCUCCUCCACCUACGCCAUACUACUAUCAUUCUCCCCCACCACCCUCACCACCUCCACCUAAGCCAUACUACUACCAUUCACCACCACCCCCACCGAAGAAGAAGCCUUACUACUACCACUCUCCACCACCACCUUCACCUCCUCCUCCAAAGAAGCCAUACUACUACCACUCCCCACCUCCUCCCAAGAAGCCCUACAAAUAUUCAUCUCCCCCACCUCCAGUGCACCCUUACCCUCAUCCUCACCCCCAUCCCCAUCCACACCCCCACCCUCACCCUCCCUACGUUUACAAAUCUCCUCCCCCACCCCCUAAGAAGCCAUACAAGUACCCAUCCCCACCACCUCCAGUCCACGUUUACCCUCACCCUCACCCGCAUCCACACCCUCACCCUCAACCUCACCCCCAUCCACAACCCCACCCUCCCUACAUUUAUCAGUCUCCUCCAC